rnacentral:rRNA from 1 species
CCUACGGGAGGCAGCAGUGAGGAAUAUUGGUCAAUGGGCGCGAGCCUGAACCAGGCAAGUAGCGUGAAGGAUGACUGCCCUACGGGUUGUAAACUUCUUUUAUAAAGGAAUAAAACAGGGUAUGCAUACCCUCUUGUAUGUACCAUAUGAAUAAGGAUCGGCUAACUCCGUGCCAGCAGCCGCGGUAAUAUGGAGGAUCCGAGCGUUAUCCGGAUUUAUUGGGUUUAAAGGGAGCGUAGGUGGAUUGUUAAGUCAGCGGUAAAAUUUCGGGGCUCAACCCCGUCGUGCCGUUGAAACUGGCGUUCUUGAGUGAGCGAGAAGUAUGCGGAAUGCGUGGUGUAGCGGUGAAAUGCAUAGAUAUCACGCAGAACUCCGAUUGCGAAGGCAGCAUACCGGCGCUCAACUGACGCUCAUGCACGAAAGCGUGGGUAUCGAACAGGAUUAGAUACCCCUGUAGUC